GAUGAACGCUGGCGGCGUGCCUAAUACAUGCAAGUCGAGCGAACAGACGAGGAGCUUGCUCCUUCGACGUUAGCGGCGGACGGGUGAGUAACACGUAGGUAACCUACCUAUAAGACUGGGAUAACUUCGGGAAACCGGAGCUAAUACCGGAUAAUAUUUCGAACCGCAUGGUUCGAUAGUGAAAGAUGGCUUUGCUAUCACUUUUAGAUGGACCUGCGCCGUAUUAGCUAGUUGGUAAGGUAACGGCUUACCAAGGCAACGAUACGUAGCCGACCUGAGAGGGUGAUCGGCCACACUGGAACUGAGACACGGUCCAGACUCCUACGGGAGGCAGCAGUAGGGAAUCUUCCGCAAAGGGCGAAAGCCUGACGGAGCAACGCCGCGUGAGUGAUGAAGGUCUUCGGAUCGUAAAACUCUGUUAUUAGGGAAGAACAAACGUGUAAGUAACUGUGCACGUCUUGACGGUACCUAAUCAGAAAGCCACGGCUAACUACGUG
rnacentral:rRNA from 1 species